rnacentral:rRNA from 1 species
UAACACGUAAGCAACCUGCCUAUCAGAGGGGAACAACAGUUAGAAAUGACUGCUAAUACCGCAUAUGCCAUGAAUAUCACAUGAUAUAAAUGGGAAAGGAGCAAUCCGCUGAUAGAUGGGCUUGCGUCUGAUUAGAUAGUUGGUGGGGUAACGGCCUACCAAGUCGACGAUCAGUAGCCGGACUGAGAGGUUGAACGGCCACAUUGGGACUGAGAUACGGCCCAGACUCCUACGGGAGGCAGCAGUCGGGAAUAUUGCGCAAUGGAGGAAACUCUGACGCAGUGACGCCGCGUGCAGGAAGAAGGUUUUCGGAUUGUAAACUGCUUUAGACAGGGAANAUNNUGACAGUACCUGUAGAAUAAGCUCCGGCUAACUACGUGCCAGCAGCCGCGGUAAUACGUAGGGAGCAAGCGUUAUCCGGAUUUAUUGGGUGUAAAGGGUGCGUAGACGGGAAGACAAGUUGGUUGUGAAAUCCCUCGGCUUAACUGAGGAACUGCAACCAAAACUAUCUUUCUUGAGUGCUGGAGAGGAAAGUGGAAUUCCUAGUGUAGCGGUGAAAUGCGUAGAUAUUAGGAGGAACACCAGUGGCGAAGGCGACUUUCUGGACAGUAACUGACGUUGAGGCACGAAAGUGUGGGGAGCAAACAGGAUUAGAUACCCUGGUAGUCCACACCGUAAACGAUGGAUACUAGGUGUAGGGUGU